GUUCUGUGGUCACCUGUGCAAAACCUUCCCCAUCUGCCCCUGACUGGAGUAGUUCAAAUGCAGACAAUCAUAUUGGUCAGGGAUCAGCCUUGACUUCAGGAAAAGGAAUUGCAACUAGUGAAGGACAAGAUCAUCUGUGACCUGGAAGGGAGGAAAGGCUCCAACAGAAUGGCUUUUGCCUUGAGACAGAGAAAUGAAGGGUUGGGCUCUGAUCAGAGAUGUUUGGCAGAGAUGAUGGUCAGUCCUUCCUCCUGAGAGAGCCUCACUUGCUCUCCCAGCUCCGAGACCUGCGCCUAUGAGAAAACAAGCUGUGCAAACCCUAACUGUGUCAACAAUAGAAGCCCGUCCAGCUGUCGUUGAUCUGCACAGCCAGAGAACUUCCUCCCUGAGGACACUGCUGUCAGAGCUGUGAGAUCAGAGCAGGAGGGUCAGGCCUGGCCUGAGCAGCCAGAUGGGUCCCCCAGCCCCCUGCAACCUCCCCCACAGCGUUGCCCUGGUUUGACCCAAUGGCUGCAUGUCCCCCAAAGUACAGCAGGACCCAGGGAAAGGGUGUGUGGAGCAGCUGUGCAGCAAUGAGGGACAGAGCUGCUUUGGGGAAGGCAGGAGGAUGAUUGCUUCCUCCAGCUCCCAUGGACCUCUGAGCAAAGGGGGCGAUUUCCAGCCCCUCUGAGGGAUUUAUAUUGUGGGACCUGAUAUAUGCUGGAGCCAUUUUGAGAGCAAGAGGUAUCCACCUGGAACCACAAACCCACCCAAAAUUGCAUUGGGGAGGUGUCAAACAGGAGACAAGGGAGAUUCAGGAACGAGCCAUGUGGGUGGGAAGGUUUUCACCCAGCACAGACUCUGCAGGUGGGAACGUGGACAGGGGCACCGGGCUGAGCUGGGUUGCUACCCCUCUGACCAAAACCGUCUGUGCCCCAGGGUGCAGGUGCCAGUGUGAUGGCCCAGGACAUCUGCAGCUCCCCAGGGGAUGAUCUGAGACAUUUUGCAGCCCUGAAAAAAGUAGAAUUGUACCAGGCCAUCCCUGUGCCAUCUCUCCAGGUGACCUCCCAGCUCCUGCCCUCCAAGAUCACCUCCAAGACUCAGCAGGGAGAGUUCAUCUUUUGUAAGGAGUGGGUGUAGGGAACCGAGAUUAUAUGACCCUGGGAGAAACAUAGAAGGGGAACUUGGCAAGAUGAAUGCGGAUGUGGUGAGAUGUAUCCUUGUGUGUGGGAAAUUAAUUGAGAGUAAUUUUCUCCUAGACAGUGAAUGCUUAACUAAAAAGUAGAUAUAGAGAAAAGUUACUAAAAAGAAUUUACUGCUGAUGUAACGGUAUAUAAACCGUGAAAGAACUGUAAUAAAUGAUUCAAUUAUACCA
rnacentral:lncRNA from 1 species